rnacentral:rRNA from 1 species
AUUGAACGCUGGCGGCAGGCCUAACACAUGCAAGUCGAACGGUAACAGGAAGCAGCUUGCUGCUUCGCUGACGAGUGGCGGACGGGUGAGUAAUGUCUGGGAAACUGCCUGAUGGAGGGGGAUAACUACUGGAAACGGUAGCUAAUACCGCAUAACGUCGCAAGACCAAAGAGGGGGACCUUAUGGCCUCUUGCCAUCGGAUGUGCCCAGCUGGGAUUAGCUAGUGUGUGGGGUAACGGGUCACCUGGGCGACGAUCCCUAGCUGGUCUGAGGGGAUGACCAGCCACACUGGAACUGGGACACGGUCCAGGCUCCUACGGGAGGGAGCAGUGGGGAAUAGUGGACAAUGGGCGCAAGCAUGAUGCAGUCAUGGCGCGUGUAUGAAGAAGGCCUUCGGGUUGUAAAGUACUUUCUGCGGGGAGGAAGGGAGUAAAGUUAAUACCUUUGCUCAUUGACGUUACCCGCAGAAGAAGCACCGGCUAACUCCGUG